UGAGCUGGUUAGUUAGUUCUCGGUUAACUGUCAAGCAGGCAGAACGCAGGAAAGUUCGUGGAGUGCACGUAGACGUGAGAUAGCCUGACCGCUGUAGAACAAAAUUUCCAUUUUUUUAAUUCUGUGGCAAAAAGUGAAGUGGUGAAGUGGAAAGCUAAUUAAGCUUAUUGGGCUCAGAGCAAGCCGCAGAUGUUCACUACCUUUAUGCAUGCUGCUCUGUAGUGCUACAAUGGAGUAGAGGAGGAGGAUACAAUGAGAUCGGCCUUUCUAUCAUGACCAACUUGUGCGCCAGGCCGGGAAGGUGUCCUAGCACGAUCAUGGAUCGGUGUGCUAGCGUUGGAGUAGCUGGCACGUCGCCGGUGAAUUUGCUUCUGUCCGGGCAAGCAUGCUGUCCACCAAUC